GUGCCUAAUACAUGCAAGUCGAGCGAACAGAAGGGAGCUUGCUCCCGGAAUGUUAGCGGCGGACGGGUGAGUAACACGUGGGUAACCUGCCUGUAAGACUGGGAUAACUCCGGGAAACCGGAGCUAAUACCGGAUAGUUCCUUGAACCGCAUGGUUCAAGGAUGAAAGACGGUUUCGGCUGUCACUUACAGAUGGACCCGCGGCGCAUUAGCUAGUUGGUGGGGUAAUGGCUCACCAAGGCGACGAUGCGUAGCGACCUGAGAGGGUGAUCGGCCACACUGGGACUGAGACACGGCCCAGACUCCUACGGGAGGCAGCAGUAGGGAAUCUUCCGCAAUGGACGAAAGUCUGACGGAGCAACGCCGCGUGAGUGAUGAAGGUUUUCGGAUCGUAAAGCUCUGUUGUUAGGGAAGAACAAGUGCGAGAGUAACUGCUCGCACCUUGACGGUACCUAACCAGAAAGCCACGGCUAACUACGUGCCAGCAGCCGCGGUAAUACGUAGGUGGCAAGCGUUGUCCGGAAUUA
rnacentral:rRNA from 1 species